rnacentral:lncRNA from 1 species
UUGGCAAUAAAAGAUCCAAACUUCUAACAAAGACAAAAAAUAACGUAUGGAAUCCCAACUCUCUCAUGCUCAGCAGACUUCUACCAUCAUUCGUUCAUGGCCUGCAGGCCCUGGUGUGAACACUCUGCUCUGGGGUACAAAAUGAUGGCCAGAAGGUCUCAGGUGCAGGCUUCUGGGGCUCGGUUUUUGGGACGCUAGCUCUCUGAGGUCAGGUUGCAUAGCCAUUCACAUCACAGGGAGUGGGAGGGUAACCCUGGCAUUGGGAGAAAGAGAACCAGUGGAUGGAUUUGGUGGUUCUGCCAUCAGGGGGAGCAGAUGCCAGCACUGAACAUGCCCUGGAAGCCCGCCAGCAUUGCCAGAAAAGUCACCAAGCUGCAGAGGUCUCACUGUGAGCCCCUCUGCACACCGCAUGUGUUGAGGACAAAAGGAGAUUUUGGCAAUGGCAGAAGGCACAAUUCAGACAAAUUCUGCUGAAAUUUAACAUGCAAUUUCCUAGAACAGACCGUUUAGUUCUUGAGAGUAGGGGGAAAAAAAUUCAUUUACAUGAGUUAGGGAACACCUUCCUACAAAAGUACACAUUACACCAGAAGAUGCAAAUUUUCACUAGGACAGAGGACAUGGGAACAAGAGCCUAGCUUGAAACAGAAGAAAUGUGGUUUUACAAAGAGCUCAUUUUCUCCAAAGAGAGUAAAGUAUUAAAAUAGGAAGACUAAAAGGCUAAUGACACAUGUCUCCAGGAACAGACAAGACUCCAGUGAGCACAGUAGCGUGGACAGGUGAGACGUAGGUAUGCACAGUGAAAGGGUGAGUGAAGGUAAUUUUGGCCACAUGUUUAGUGACACCUGAAAAAGGAGGUCUCUCCAGGCAGUGUGUGAGAGCUUCCUGGAGGAGGGAGACUCCUAAGAUCCACUUGAAUCCAUUUUUUUUUCCAGCAAUUAUUUAUUGGGCACCUACUGUAUUAUUCUACAUAAUGCAUUAUUCUAGAUGCUGGAAGGAUAAUAAUGAACCCAACAGGCAGAG